AUUGAACGCUGGCGGCAUGCUUUACACAUGCAAGUCGAACGGCAGCGCGGGCUUCGGCCUGGCGGCGAGUGGCGAACGGGUGAGUAAUACAUCGGAACGUGCCCAGUAGUGGGGGAUAGCUCGGCGAAAGCCGGAUUAAUACCGCAUACGACCUGAGGGUGAAAGCGGGGGAUCUUCGGACCUCGCGCUAUUGGAGCGGCCGAUGGCAGAUUAGCUAGUUGGUGGGGUAAAGGCCUACCAAGGCGACGAUCUGUAGCUGGUCUGAGAGGACGACCAGCCACACUGGGACUGAGACACGGCCCAGACUCCUACGGGAGGCAGCAGUGGGGAAUGUUGGACAAGGGGCGAAAGCCUGAUCCAGCAAUGCCGCGUGUGUGAUGAAGGCCUUCGGGUUGUAAAGCACUUUUGGCGGGAACGAAAAGGACUGUGCCAAUACCACGGUUCGAUGACGGUACCCGCAGAAUAAGCACCGGCUAACUACGUG
rnacentral:rRNA from 1 species